rnacentral:sRNA from 1 species
AUGGCUGUCGUCAACUCGUGUCGUGAGAUGUUGGGUUAAGUCCCGCAACGAGCGCAACCCUUAUCGUUAGUUACUAACAGUUCGGCUGAGGACUCUAGCGAAACUGCCGGUGAUAAGCCGGAGGAAGGUGGGGAUGACGUCAAGUCCUCAUGGCCCUUACACGCUGGGCUACACACGUGCUACAAUGGUAUUUACAACGGGACGCAAUAUCGCAAGGUGGAGCAAAUCCCCAAAAAAUAUCUCAGUUCGGAUUGCACUCUGCAACUCGAGUGCAUGAAGUUGGAAUUACUAGUAAUCGCGGAUCAGCAUGCCGCGGUGAAUACGUUCCCGGGUCUUGUACACACCGCCCGUCACACCAUGAGAGUUGGUUUUAUCUUAAGCCAGUGAGCUAACCCUUCGGGGAGGCAGCUGUCCACGGUACGGCCAGCGAUUGGGGUGAAGUCGUAACAAGGUAGCCGUAGGGGAACCUGCGGCUGGAUCACCUCCUUUCUAAAGGAAAAAAAACUUCGAUUGAAGUGUACUUUCGAAGUAACCACCGUCUAUUCAUUUUGUCUUUUUUAAUUCUAACGAAUUAAUCAAGGGCAUUAAUUGGGCGUGUAGCUCAGUUGGUUAGAGCGCGCGCUUGAUAAGCGUGAGGUCGGAGGUUCAAGUCCUCCCUCGCCCACCAACUUGUUGGGGGAUUAGCUCAGCUGGGAGAGCGCCUGAUUUGCAUUCAGGAGGUAGCAGGUUCGAUCCCUGUAUCCUCCACCAGGAAACAUUUAGUUAUUAAAACUGUAAAUAAAAAUAAUUUAUAUCAAUAUCUAUAUCCGAACAUUAAAAGUUAUUAUUUAAUGUUCAAAAUAAAAAUUUGAUCACAACAUAGAUUAAUUUUCUUUAAAAAGAAUUUUUUUCUGUGCAUAAAUCAAGCGUUUAAGGGCGUGUAGUGGAUGCCUUGGCACUGAAAGCCGAUGAAGGACGUGAUAUACUGCGAUAAGUUUCGGGGAGCUGUAUGUAAGCUUUGAUCCGAAAAUUUCCGAAUGGGGAAACCCGG